GGACUUAUAGCUCAGCGGUAGAGCAACCGCCUGCAGAGCGGUAGGUCUCCGGUUCAAAUCCGGGUGGGUCCU
rnacentral:tRNA from 1 species